AUCCAGAUUACGAGUCCCAAAUAGGACGAAAUCCGCAUCCUGGAU
rnacentral:hammerhead_ribozyme from 1 species